AGUCACUUUAACAGCUUGGUUGCAAUAUAAGCUGUUUUUAGACCAAUGAGAAGGUUUUUAUGUCCGAAACAUAAAGGGUUUUUUGACCUCUUAUAUGUCAAAAGAUCGAGGGAAAUUUGAUUUCUCAAUCCAUGACCCAUUUAAAAGGCCAGUAUGUAUGGGUCUUGACUUUACAAAUGCAAGUCAGUUUAGGCAGUCCUAUUCUUGUAGGAGAGGUUGAUGGGAUUGUUCUCCUGCUUUGCACUGGCCCUGAGGCUGAGGACGUUAGCACUGCAGUGAAGCCACAUCCAUCUUUGUCACUCCACUACUAAGAGCGCUCAGGGCAGAGAGGACUUUGUGCUGUCAGGUUUUAACUACAUACCUCGAUCCUUAAAUACCUCUAUAUCUCAUACAACCUCUCACAAUCUAAAUAACUCUCACCUCUCCUAACCUCGAAAGCCUUUUGGAAUGCUGAUGCUGAGAACACUUUUUAACAUGUCCUUCUCCAUUAGUUGCCUUAAGUGGAAACCCAUUGUCUGAUUGUUCAAGGGAAUUGUUCAAAACUGAUGUCUGAGCUUUGAAAGGUGAAAGGUCCUUGGAUGUUUAUAAUUAUCAAAGACCCAAAAGACCAGAGUAAAAAAAAAAAAAAAAAAAAAAACAUUUGUUUACUCACCCUCAUGCUGUUGUUUUAUGCUGUUAUUUCUUCCAUGGAAGAAAGAAAAGAGGAGUGUUUAUGCAGGUGGCAGUACACAGCAUCCAUAAAAAGAAACUCAUCAUAAAGUGAGAUCUCGCAGCUCUGCACUGGUCUAACAAUCCACCAGCUGGAAUGUUUUGGAGUCUCCAAAAUGAGUAUUCAGCCUUCAGAAGAAAGUGAAAAGAGAAAAAAUCUCCAUUUUCAUGUAAUGUAGUGGAACAUACGGCCAAUGCUCCACUGAAAAUCACAAGCGUGAGUCCAAAAACCUGUCUUUAUCAACAACUUUAUUACACUCUUAUCGCAUUCUUGGACCAACCUUCACAAAAGACUUUAACUCUUCCAGAACAACUUUGAGAAACACCUAAACUGCAGUGCACUUACGGUAAAGAAACAAAUGAAAAAUAAAUGUUUUGUAUACUUUUCUGCGCAGUAUGAACACAACUACUUCUUCCCCUUUUGUUGGUUAUUGAUGUGCUGUGAAAAGAUCAAUGGCACGGUGUUUGUUAGAAAUCUCAGACAAUAGAAAAGACUGAACUCUGCACUGUGCAACACAUCUAACCUCGCCAAAGGCCUCAUUUAUUUGAUUUAUCGACUGUGCUGCUUAGAACGAGGAAAUGACAGAGUCAGCCAAGCAAUUACCAGACGCAAGAUAGGCCCAACUCCCAUACUCAUAAACCAUACCAGCAACCUCUUACACCAGGUUACCACACCACUUUGAUAGAAACGUGAUCAAACUGUAUCUGAAAUAUGCAUCUCAAAGAAAUGUUAUGCUUAAGAGUGAUAACAAUAACUUGCAUAUAUAUGGCAGUCAUGACCAAAUGUAAUUUAGCAGACCUUAUUGGUUCUAAAAUGCAAUCUGUGUAGCCACUAAGAGUAACCAGAAUAAAAAUCACCUGCUAGCUUAUUACAAACCGGUGUUACAAUACGCUGCCAGCAUCUGGCCUUGUGGAGGAGACAACAUGUGUUUCAUAAUCAUAAACAUGAUUGCGAGUCAGACUAUAUCAGCCUAUAUUACAGUCAAUUUCCUCAUACCAUCAGUCAGCCUACGCCUGCAACAAUCAGAUCUAAUUAACAUAUGCAGAUUUCUUCAUUAAAAGCAGGGAGACGCUAAUGAGCUGUUGUAUUCCUGAUAGCGGGGGAUGACUGGAUGCCCAGAAAUGAGGACAACCUCUGGAAAACCUGUGGGAAAUGGCAGCACGGAUCCAUUAGCCUCCGCACGGACCCUAGACCUAAAGCAAAUACGGUCCAGAGCUGGAUAUGAUGACAGCAGCGGCAAAGCUGUGAUUGAGGGGCUCCUGCAACUAAUGACCCAAUGAAUUAUUAUUGCCGUGUGAUAGAACCCUUUAGGCCUGGAAUGUGAAAUGACCAUUUAACACUUCAGUAGUGAGGAAUUGAAUUGUAAAUGUCAUUUUAAAAUAGGUCAGAAUAUUUUGAAAUCACUGCAUUGCAAAAAAUAUUCUAUCUCUUUCUCUCCAAUGCUGAUAUGUCUAAACACCUUUUAAAAGAAAAGAAAUGUAUAUGAACUAAAUAAACUCCACUUUUAAUCAGACUUUAGUAGUGAGAAAUUUAACUGUUUAUAUCAUUUUAACUGUAUAUAUCAUUUUAAAACAGGUCAAAAUAUACUCAAAAGUACUGCGGACUGAAAUUAUGUUCCAAACAUAGGUUCAGGAGGAGCCAAUUCAUUCAGUCCUGUCAAUCAUCAUUACAAGUGUAUAUAAGCAGCAGUCAUUGCACCGUCCCAGCAUCAAUUCCUCCAGCAUCCCUCCAUCUCCCCUUCUCCUCUUAGAUUUCUUUCAGUUCUAGCUCUGAGCUCAAGACGAGCCUUGGGUUCAAGCCUCCUUUAAGGACAGCAAGCCAACUUGAUUUACCAUUAUCUAGCAGGACUGAAUGGGCAGACGAACUUUUGAAAUAAAUUAACUUUUCAAACGUUUAAUCAAACUUAAUCAAACCUUCACUAACUUGUGUUAGAUUUGUUUAAAAAAAAAAACUGAAAAAGAAAAAAAAAUGCCAUUGGGGUAAGAAUAUUGAAACUCUAUAUAAAAGUUCUGGACUAACAUGUUUAAACGUUGCGUUUGCAUAUUUUUAUAUAAAGUAAAUUAAAUGACAUGAAAAACUGUGAAAAAAUAAGUGACUGGUUUUAGUUAUCUGAAAGGGCAGUGUACAGCAUUGCCGUGGAUGACCGUGAAGUAUCUUAACACUGGAUACAACUAUUGACCAAUAAGAACAAAGUAUUUUAGAAAGUGGCAUAAUAGCUACCAUUUAGAUAUUUUUUUAUUUUAUUUUUCUUACUGGAAAACAAGAACCAAAAUACUCCAUAAUAAGGAAAAUUAUGUAUUGCAAUGCUACCUUAUAUAAUUAAUUUGCAAUGCACACUUGACAUCGCACUCAUAGAGCCCAGCAGGGUCUUAAACUGAUGUACAUAUUUCUGUUUUUUCAUUUGAUUUACCGGUCUGGUGGUGCUCUGUUCAUGUACAUGUUCCCAUGUAUAUUUAUAAAGUCUGAUAUGCACCAUAAGGUUAUUAUCCAUUAAGGAUAGCAGAUAAUUAAUUAGUUCUGUCUUCUGGCUGCUCCCUGUGUCUCAUUAGCAAAGCAUGGAUGACUAACUCCAUUCAUAUUCAUACCAAAAAAAAA